CCAGAGCUUGCUCUGGUGAGAGUGGCGCACGGGUGAGUAACGCGUGGAUAACCUGCCCUGGUAUCUGGAAUAACAUCUCGAAAGGGGUGCUAAUACCGGAUAAGCCUACGGAGCCCUCGGUCUCUGCAGGAAAAGGUGGCCUCUAUUUAUAAGCUACCGUAUCAGGAUGGGUCCGCGUACCAUUAGCUAGUUGGUAGGGUAAUGGCCUACCAAGGCUACGAUGGUUAGCUGGUCUGAGAGGAUGAUCAGCCACACUGGAACUGAGACACGGUCCAGACUCCUACGGGAGGCAGCAGUGGGGAAUUUUGCGCAAUGGGGGAAACCCUGACGCAGCAACGCCGCGUGAGUGAUGAAGGCUUUCGGGUCGUAAAGCUCUGUCAGAAGGGAAGAAAUGGGGCUGGCUAAUAUCCAGUUUCCUUGACGGUACCUUCAAAGGAAGCACCGGCUAACUCCGUGCCAGCAGCCGCGGU
rnacentral:rRNA from 1 species